CUGAAACACAGACCUGGUAGUUUUGCUCGAGUUUGGCUGGCUAUUUGACGAAAACAUCAAUCGGAGCAAUGACAUGAAGUUGAAGAAAAAUGUCCUGAUAAAGACAUUAAGGUGAAGCUUAUGUCUGUUGUCAUGUGUUUUGAAUUCAAAAGGGAUGGCUAGAGCAGAGAUGGGUCUUGUUAUUCGAUGUGGCUAUUCAAUUGAACCUUGUUAACUUGGUUAAUGGACAAAGUCAUGGAAAUUGUGUUCAAACUUGUUCAGAUGCAGGUUCUUAUAUUGGUGAAUUCAAGUGUGGAGUUAAACAUGGUUUUGGUUGUUAUCAUUUCAGGGCAUUCAAUUGAGAAAUUGAUGUAACAACAAAUUUGAAGGACAGUCUGGUUAAGAAGUGAUAGAGAGGGGGGGAAAUGGAGAUUGAAGUAGUGAAGAAGUAUUUGGAGAGAAAAUCAUCAGAAGGGGAAGAAACAUAUGACCUACCAGGAGUAUGAGGAAGAAGUAAAUAAAGCCGUAACUGAGAUGGGUAGACGAGGAAUGCACAAAUACCAAAUGACAAACCUUGAAUGUGCAGUAUCAGCAACCCUCUAGAAUUACUGAAUUAGUGAACUCCAAGAACUUAAAUCUGCACUUCAGCACCUAAUCAAAAACACAAGAAAAACAAAUAAAUUAGAUUUCAACAACAUUUAAUAAACCCAAUUCAGAAAACCCACUCCACUCAUACACUUGAUCAAGUCAGAUAACUUCUCAGUACCUAUUGAUUCUUCAUUUCAAUAAAAUCCAUUUUAUUUAGACAAACAUGGAGGUGAUGAAACAUAAGAAGAUUCAUGAAACAUAAGAAUUAACUACUUGUCAUUCUUGUCCUGCUCUAACAUGUAAUUGCAGUUAACUACUUGGUACUUAUAUAGCAUCAUCAACAAAGUCUAACAGCAGUAUAAUGAACCAAAUCGUAAUCCCAGAUUGCUAAUUGUAACUAGUAGGAACACCUAACCCAUAUUAACUUUAUAAACAAAAGUUACAAAACCACAGAAUUGGAGCAUCACUGCAAGUAAAUGCACUUUGACAACACCAGAAAUCAGAACAAUUACUAACACCCUAAUUUCAUUAACAAAAAGAAAAAGAAGUACUCAAAUUACUAAAACAGCACCAUUACCAUUCAAAAAUUAGCACUAGACACUAGACAGUGAAUUAGGAACAACAUAAUCCAAAACAAAAACAAAUCUCUAACCUUUUCCUUCUCUUUCUCCACUCCCUUAGAUAAUCUGAUUGAUACUUAAUCCAGUUCAGUUCAGUUCCUUUCUUUUCCCUUUGUCUUACCCUGUGAAAGUGAAACCCUAAUAUAAUCAGACAUAGAUUUCAAGAUUAAAAGAUUCAAAACUUCACAAAAGUAAUGUUACCUUCUUGAAGAUCAGAUAAUGCUGUCAUUCAAAUUAUGAAGCUCAAUUAAGAUCAGAUAAUGUUGUCAUUCAAAUUAUGAAGCUCAAUUAUUGCCUGUUGAACAGAUUAGGAAGAAAAGAAAAAGUUGAACCCCAAUUAAAAUUCAAAACUAAAACAAACCAACAACUCAAAU